rnacentral:misc_RNA from 1 species
UGUAUAAAUAUUUAAAAAAAUUUUAUAUUUAUGAGAGGUAAGUAAUCUUAAGUAUGUUGGAGUCAAAUCUUAUGUUUCCCACUGCAAAUCAAGGCUGCCUAAUCUGAAAGCCAAUUGGAGUUAAAGAAGAACAACCCCUCAUAAUCUAACAGAAUCUCUUUAUUUACACAUUUUCAAAAUCUCUAACUACAUGGAUGUGAGAAAUGAUGCAUAUGCACAUUAGGUACACUUAAUAAUUUUUUAUA